rnacentral:rRNA from 1 species
AAGUUUGAUGGCGACCGGCGCACGGGUGAGUAACACGUAUCCAACCUGCCGAUGACUCGGGGAUAGCCUUUCGAAAGAAAGAUUAAUACCCGGUGGCAUAGUUCUUCCGCAUGGUGGAACUAUUAAAGAAUUUCGGUCAUCGAUGGGGAUGCGUUCCAUUAGGUUGUUGGCGGGUACGGCCCACCAAGCCUUCGAUGGAUAGGGGUUCUGAGAGGAAGGUCCCCCACAUUGGAACUGAGACACGGUCCAAACUCCUACGGGAGGCAGCAUG